UACGGAGGGAGCGAGCGUUAAUCGGAAUUACUGGGCGUAAAGCGCGCGUAGGCGGCUUUGUAAGUCGGAUGUGAAAGCCCUGGGCUCAACCUGGGAAUGGCAUUCGAUACUGCAGAGCUAGAGUAUGGUAGAGGGAAGUGGAAUUUCCGGUGUAGCGGUGAAAUGCGUAGAUAUCGGAAGGAACACCGGUGGCGAAGGCGACUUCCUGGGCCAAUACUGACGCUGAGGCGCGAAAGCGUGGGUAGCAAACAGG
rnacentral:rRNA from 1 species